rnacentral:rRNA from 1 species
UGGGGAAUAUUGCACAAUGGGCGGAAGCCUGAUGCAGCGACGCCGCGUGAGGGAUGACGGCCUUCGGGUUGUAAACCUCUUUCAGUAGGGACGAAGCGUAAGUGACGGUACCUGCAGAAGAAGCACCGGCUAACUACGUGCCAGCAGCCGCGGUAAUACGUAGGGUGCGAGCGUUGUCCGGAAUUACUGGGCGUAAAGAGCUCGUAGGCGGUUUGUCACGUCGUCGGUGAAAUCCUAGGGCUUAACCCUGGACGUGCAGGCGAUACGGGCUGACUUAAGUACUACAGGGGAGACUGGAAUUUCUGGUGUAGCGGUGGAAUGCACAGAUAUCAGGAAGAACACCGAUGGCGAAGGCAGGUCUCUGGGUAGUAACUGACGCUGAGGAGCGAAAGCAUGGGUAGCGAACAGG